GCCACUGUGGCGAAAUUGGUAGACGCGCACGACUCAAAAUCGUGUGGAGUAAUCCAUGCCGGUUCGACCCCGGCCAGUGGUC
rnacentral:tRNA from 1 species